GACGAACGCUGGCGGCGUGCUUAACACAUGCAAGUCGAACGGAAAGGCCCUGCUUUUGUGGGGUGCUCGAGUGUCGAUUGUGAGUGUAUCACGUGAGUGACCUGACCUUGACGUUGGGAUAACUUCAGGAAACUGGGGAUAAUACCGGAUAGGUGCUCCUGCCGCAUGGUGGGGGGUGGAAAGUUUAGGCGGUGGGGGAUUGUCCCGCGGCUUAUGAGCUUGUGGGUGGGGUAGUGGCUUACGAAGGCUUUGACGGGCAGCCGGACUGGGAGGGAGACCGGGCACAGUGGCAUUGGGAUAGAGCCCAGACUCCUACGGGGGGCAGCAGUAGGAGAGAUUGCACUAUGGGCGGAAGCGUGAUGCAGCAGCGGCGCGUGCGGGAUAGCGGCGUUCGAGUUGUAAACCGCUUUCGCCUGUAACGAAGCGGGUGUGACGGUAAUGUGUAAAGAAGGAACGGCUAACUACGGG
rnacentral:rRNA from 1 species